rnacentral:rRNA from 1 species
ACGCUGGCGGCAGGCCUAACACAUGCAAGUCGAACGAAGAGGCCCCUUCGGGGGUACUUCAGUGGCGCACGGGUGAGGAACGCGUGGGAACCUACCCUUCGGUACGGAAUAACUACGGGAAACUGUAGCUAAUACCGUAUACGCCCUAUGGGGGAAAGAUUCAUCGCCGAUGGAUGGUCCCGCGCCCGAUUAGCUUGUUGGUGAGGUAACGGCUCACCAAGGCUACGAUCGGUAGCCGGCCUGAGAGGGUGAUCGGCCACACUGGGACUGAGACACGGCCCAGACUCCUACGGGAGGCAGCAGUGGGGAAUAUUGGACAAUGGGCGCAAGCCUGAUCCAGCAACGCCGCGUGGAGGAUGAAGGCUUUCGGGUCGUAAACUCCUGUCAGGUGGGACGAAAUGGUGUCGAUGAAUAUCCGGCAUCUCUGACGGUACCACCAGAGGAAGCCCCGGCUAACUCCGUGCCAGCAGCCGCGGUAAUACGGAG